rnacentral:piRNA from 1 species
UGUUCCAGUCUCUUUUCUUGAAGCAUAUU